rnacentral:rRNA from 1 species
CCUACGGGAGGCAGCAGUGGGGAAUCUUGCGCAAUGGGCGAAAGCCUGACGCAGCCAUGCCGCGUGAAUGAUGAAGGUCUUAGGAUUGUAAAAUUCUUUCACCGGGGACGAUAAUGACGGUACCCGGAGAAGAAGCCCCGGCUAACUUCGUGCCAGCAGCCGCGGUAAUACGAAGGGGGCUAGCGUUGCUCGGAAUUACUGGGCGUAAAGGGAGCGUAGGCGGAUAGUUUAGUCAGAGGUGAAAGCCCAGGGCUCAACCUUGGAAUUGCCUUUGAUACUGGCUAUCUUGAGUAUGGGAGAGGUAUGCGGAACUCCGAGUGUAGAGGUGAAAUUCGUAGAUAUUCGGAAGAACACCAGUGGCGAAGGCGGCAUACUGGCCCAUUACUGACGCUGAGGCUCGAAAGCGUGGGGAGCAAACAGGAUUAGAUACCCUGGUAGUCCACGCUGUAAACGAUGAGUGCUAGUUGUCGGCAUGCAUGCAUGUCGGUGACGCAGCUACGACAUAAGACACUCCGCCGUCGGGUAGGUACGGUCGCGAGAGUUAAACUACAAUAGUAAGUAGUACGCGUGAGACGUGACGACGGACGACGACGAGGGAGGAGG